rnacentral:rRNA from 1 species
AACGGCCCAGACUCCUACGGGAGGCAGCAGUGGGGAAUUUUGGACAAUGGGCGCAAGCCUGAUCCAGCAAUGCCGCGUGAGUGAAGAAGGCCUUCGGGUUGUAAAGCUCUUUUGUCAGGGAAGAAACGGUGGAGGUUAAUACCUUCUGCUAAUGACGGUACCUGAAGAAUAAGCACCGGCUAACUACGUGCCAGCAGCCGCGGUAAUACGUAGGGUGCAAGCGUUAAUCGGAAUUACUGGGCGUAAAGCGUGCGCAGGCGGUUGUGCAAGACAGAUGUGAAAUCCCCGGGCUCAACCUGGGAAUUGCAUUUGUGACUGUACGGCUAGAGUGUGUCAGAGGGGGGUAGAAUUCCACGUGUAGCAGUGAAAUGCGUAGAGAUGUGGAGGAAUACCGAUGGCGAAGGCAGCCCCCUGGGAUAACACUGACGCUCAUGCACGAAAGCGUGGGGAGCAAACAGGAUUAGAUACCCUGGUAGUCCACGCCCUAAACGAUGUCUACUAGUUGUCGGGUCUUUAUUGACUUGGUAACGCAGCUAACGCGUGAAGUAGACCGCCUGGGGAGUACGGUCGCAAGAUUAAAACUCAAAGGAAUUGACGNAA